AUGACGAAUACAUAACGCGUAAAAAGUGGCAAAACUAAGAUAAGAUAAUGGGCGUUCAUACCGAUAAUGAAACUUCACCAAUUAUUAAGUACCCUUUUUAAAUCGUGUAUGUGUGAAGUGUGAACCCCAAAACCAGCAUUGAAUUAGGUUGUUAAUUAGUGAUAAUUUCACGAGUGUAGGGUCGUUUUGUCUGAAGAUCACCAAUUAGUAAACGCCAGCUAUAUAUAUAGUAUAGAUUACUAAAACACUUACCUCAGAUUAUUCAAUUAUUUUACGUUUAGUCUCUACUCUCCAGCUAGGGAUACAUCUCUUACAUAAACUCUGACAAAAGUUAUUACUAAAUCCAUCCAAGAUUAUUAGAUAUCCAUUAACUUAACUUUAUGUAUUAGCCUCCCAACUUUUAUGUUCGUUAAGUUUGAUUGAUAAAGAGAGAGAGAGAGUAGAGACUAUGAUGUUUCAACACGAGUAUCCAUAUGGCUUCUCCCUCAUGGAAACAUCAUCAAGCUACGAAGUCUUGGACUACAAAAUGAUCGUUGGUUCACCCCCAAAUCCAAUUUCUUUUGCUUCUUCUUUAGCGACACUCUCUUCCUCCAUAGCCGAGCAACAAUCUAAUUCAACGGACAAUUUAUAUUCUCUACAAGCACGAGGUGGUUUCGGUGAAGAACCGCCGCGGAAGAAGAGGAGGAGGAGGAGAACGAGAAGUGAACAAAUGAUAGAAGAGAAAGAGAACCAAAGGAUGAAUCACAUCGCCGUCGAGCGUAAUCGGAGAAGGCAGAUGAAUCAUUUUCUGUCCAUACUCAAAGCUAUGAUGCCUCUCUCUUAUUCUCAGCGUAGUGACCAAGCAUCAAUCAUAGAGGGGACUAUAAACUAUCUAAAGAAGCAAGAACAACUUCUUCAAUCAUUCGAGGCCCAAUUAAAACCCAAAAAACCCAAUCAACCGACGAACAUAUUCUCCGACUUCUUCAACUUCCCUCAAUACUCCACCGCCAUCGCCUCGAGCCGCCGCCACCACAACGGACUUGCGGUGGUUGCUGACGUGGAAGUUACUAUGGUCGAAAUGCAUGCUAACAUUAAAGUGUUAACAAAGACACGCCCAAGAUUGUUGCUCAAGAUGAUCAAUGAGUUUGACUCCUUAGGGUUAACUAUAUUUCAUCUCAACCUCACAACUUCCAAUAACAUGUCUCUUUUCACUUUUAGUGUCAAGGUAGAUGAAGCCUGUCGCUUAACGACUACAGCUAAUGAGGUCGCAGAUGCGGUGCAUGAAGUCGUUAGCAGAAUUCACAAGGAACACUGACCUUUUUUGGUAAAGGCCAAAAGAGAAGAAAAAUGAACUUUGUUUACGUUAACUUUGCAGCCAAAAAAAAAGGUUUAAGCCUAGUAAGGUUUACACGAUCGCCUUUCGCUCAGGCAAAAAAUGGGCCUUCAAACUUAGGAGAAUUUAACGGGACGCGGGUGAAAUAUUCAAUUUGCGAUUGCCUGAAUCUUGAUUCCUCGAGAAUAACGGUAAUAUUAUAGAAAGGUCGAGUACAAUCAGUAAUACUAGAUUAAGAACGAGCCU